GAUGAACGCUGGCGGCGUGCCUAAUACAUGCAAGUCGAGCGAACGGACGAGAAGCUUGCUUCUCUGAUGUUAGCGGCGGACGGGUGAGUAACACGUGGAUAACCUACCUAUAAGACUGGGAUCACUUCGGGACACCGGCGCUAAUACCGGAUAAUAUUUUGAACCGCAUGGUUCAAUAGUGAAAGACGGUCUUGCUGUCACUUAUCGAUGGAUCCGCGCUGCAUUAGCUAGUUGGUAAGGUAACGGCUUACCAAGGCAACGAUGCAUAGCCGACCUGAGAGGGUGAUCGCCCACACUGGAACUGAGACACGGUCAAGACUCCUACGGGAGGCAGCAGUAGGGAAUCUUCCGCAGUGGGCGAAAGCCUGACGGAGCAACGCCGCGUGAGUGAUGAAGGUCUUCGGAUCGUAAAACUCUGUUAUUAGGGAAGAACAUAUGUGUAAGUAACUGUGCACAUCUUGACGGUAACUAAUCAGAAAGCCACGGCUAACUACGUG
rnacentral:rRNA from 1 species